AGCGAGUGCUCGGCGUCGCUCCGCAGCUUGGAUUUAUUUCAUAGGUUUGGAUGAGAGACCUCAUGUGGGCUUCAGGUCCUCAUCUUCAUGAGAAUUGGGACUGGACCCCCAGCAGCGAGGAGCCUUGAAGGCUGGAGAGAAAGAGUUUCCAUCAUGGAUCUCUCCUGAGGGAAUAGUCCAGAUUUCCUGAGUCGUUUCCAGGUCGAGGUCCUGUAUGCCUCUUCUGUUCUCAGGACCAGUUCCUGUCAGAGUGGGAAGACCUGAUCUUGGAUAUUUGGUUUUGCUCCUUUGUGAAAAGCUGUAAAGACAAUUUUCCACCCCUAGCUGUAAAGAACUCUUGGUGGGAAAUUAUAAUUCCUUUAGGGAGAUUAAAAUCUCAUUUGGAUUACCC
rnacentral:lncRNA from 1 species